GACAGAGGGUGCAAACGUUGUUCGGAAUUACUGGGCGUAAAGCGUGUGUAGGCGGCCUUAUAAGUCGGAUGUGAAAGCCCCGGGCUCAACUCGGGAAGUGCACUCGAUACUGUGAGGCUUGAGUAUCGGAGAGGUUGGUGGAAUUCUCGGUGUAGAGGUGAAAUUCGUAGAUAUCGAGAGGAACACCGGUGGCGAAAGCGGCCAACUGGACGAAUACUGACGCUGAGACACGAAAGCGUGGGGAG
rnacentral:rRNA from 1 species